rnacentral:rRNA from 1 species
GACGAACGCUGGCGGCGUGCCUAAUACAUGCAAGUCGAACGCAGUGGGGACGGGUGAGUAACACGUGGGUAACCUCCCAUCAGAGGGGAUAACACUUGGAAACAGGUGCUAAACCUAUUCUGAUGGAUGGACCCGCGGUGCAUUAGUUAGUUGGUGAGUUAACGGGUAACUAGGGCAACGAUGCAUCGCGGACGUGAGAGGUGAAGCGGCAAAAUGGGGACUGAGACACGGCCCAGACUGCGACGGGAGGCAGCAGUAGGGAAUCUUCGGCAAUGGACGAAAGGCUGACCGAGCAACGCCGCGUGAGUGAAGAAGGUUUUCGGAUCGUAAAACACUGUUGUUAGAGAAGCGGUAUCUAAACAGAAAGCCACGGAUAACUACGUGCCAGCAGCCGCGGUAAUAC